UGGAGGCAAAACCCAAAAAAACGACAGUCUCAGUUCGGAUUGAAGGCUGAAAUUCGCCUUCAUGAAGCCGGAAUUGCUAGUAAUGGCAGGUCAGCAUACUGCCGUGAAUACGUUCCCGGGCCUUGUACACACCGCCCGUCACACCAUGAGAGUUGGGAAUACCCGAAGCCUGUGAGCUAACUUUUAGAGGCAGCAGUCGAAGGUAGAAUCAAUGAUUGGGGUGAAGUCGUAACAAGGUAAC
rnacentral:rRNA from 1 species